rfam:Fusobacterium varium ATCC 27725 genomic scaffold supercont2.1, whole genome shotgun sequence.
AUAUCAUCAUACGGGAGCUGAAAAAGCUGAGAGGAAAUUUUAUUUCGACCGUUAGACCUGAUUUGGAUAAUGCCAGCGUAGGAAAUGUUUUUAAGUUGUCU